GAUAAACGCUGGCGGCGCACAUAAGACAUGCAAGUCGAACGAACUUAACCUAUAGUUUACUAUUGGAGCGGUUAGUGGCGGACUGGUGAGUAACGCGUGAGCAAUCUGCCUUUCAGAGGGGGAUAACAGCCGGAAACGGCUGCUAAUACCGCAUAAUGCAUUGGAUUCGCAUGUUUCUGAUGCCAAAGAUUUUAUCGCUGAAAGAUGAGCUCGCGUCUGAUUAGCUAGUUGGCGGGGUAACGGCCCACCAAGGCGACGAUCAGUAGCCGGACUGAGAGGUUGAACGGCCACAUUGGGACUGAGACACGGCCCAG
rnacentral:rRNA from 1 species